CCUUCACUUCGUUCUACUUCUCCGAAAAUCACCAACUGCCUUUCUCCUCCACUCCUUUCUUCUUCUGUGCCAUUAUUUAUUUCAGACAGAGAAUGCUGAGUUCUGCUUUUCUUCUACCGCUGAUGUGUGUCUCUGAGUUCUCUGCAUAUCUCUGCGUUUCUCCUCCGAAAAUCACCUCUGCGUAUCUCCCAGUUCUGCUUCUCUGCCUUCGCUUCUGCUACAUCAAGUCAUCACAAAUGCUGAAGAGUUGUCGUCGCCGUCCUCCAUCUGUUGCCAGCACCAUUGAUCAUCCCAGUUGUUGUCGCCGCUCCGUCUAGUUGCCGUCACUGGUCAUUUUUCCUCCAUUUAAAUAAGCCCAAAAUAUUCAGGCCUAAUCCAUCCAAAAGAUCGGAUUGAGCUGGACGAGGUUUGGGUUAGACCCGUCCAAGUUGCAGCCCAUUUGGUGUUGAAUGCAAUGGUACGCCUGUAUGAAGUUCUACUUAAAAAACCUCGACCUGUGACUGCAAACUCAACUGAUGAGAAAUGGAAAUGGUUCAAGAAUUGCCUAGGGGCUCUAGAUGGAACCUAUAUUAGAGUUCGAGUGCCUGAAAAGGAUAAGCCUAAGUAUCGAAUGAGGAAGAAUGAAAUUGCAACAAAUGUCUUGGGCGUUUGCUCCCUAGAAAUGCAAUUCAUUUAUGUUUUACCUGGUUGGGAGGGAUCUGCCCAUGACACUAGAGUCCUUCAUGAUGCCAUCUCAAGGAGAAAUGACUUGUAAGUACCACAAGGUUGCUAUUAUUUGUGUGAUGCUGGGUACCCUAAUAGUGAUGGAUACUUAACACCUUAUAGAGGACAAAGAUAUCAUCUAAAUGAGUGGAGGCAAGGGCACCAAUCCAACACCCUAGCUGAGAUUUUCAACAUGAGACAUUCUGCAGCCAGGAAUGUAAUUGAGAGGACAUUUGGCCUCCUUAAAAUAAGAUGGACAAUACUUAGGACCCCAACUUGGUAUCCAAUAAGAACCCAAGUUAGGAUCAUUAUUGCAUGUUGCCUCCUAUACAACUACAUAUGGAGAAGCAUGCCAAAUGACCCCAUGGAAGCAGGACUUGAAGAAUUUUUUGUUGGUGAACAAGGCCAAAGUGCAACUGAGGUAGAUUAUGAACGAAUAACAAGCCUAGAUGGUAGUAGGGAGUGGAAUGCAUUUAGAGACAACUUGGCAAAUCAAAUGUGGCAGCACUUUAGACACCAAUAGAAAUUUCUAUUUGUUACUUUUGUGUUGUAAUAAAGUAUUACUUGUUCAUUAUGUUUACUAUGAAACUAUUGUGUAUUACUCUUGUGAUGUUUAGUAAAUAGUGGUUUGUUUCAGUAGCAUUUGUUGAUUUAUUUGCUUGUAUUUGCCUUAUGUUUAUGUAUU